GACAGAGGGUGCAAACGUUGUUCGGAAUUACUGGGCGUAAAGCGCGUGUAGGCGGCUGCGCAAGUCGGAUGUGAAAUCCCAUGGCUCAACCAUGGAAGUGCACUCGAAACUGCGUAGCUAGAGUCUCGGAGAGGAAGGUGGAAUGCUUGGUGUAGAGGUGAAAUUCGUAGAUAUCAAGCAGAACACCGGUGGCGAAGGCGGCCUUCUGGACGAUGACUGACGCUGAGACGCGAAAGCGUGGGGAGCAAACAGG
rnacentral:rRNA from 1 species